rnacentral:piRNA from 1 species
CCUGCCUCUGCCUCCUAGUGCUGG